UACGUAGGUGGCAAGCGCUGUCCGGAUUUACUGGGCGUAAAGAGCGCGCAGGCGGUCGAUCAAGUCGCGUGUGAAAGCCCCCGGCUCAACUGGGGAGGGUCACGCGAUACUGAUCGACUCGAAGGCAGGAGAGGGUAGUGGAAUUCCCGGUGUAGUGGUGAAAUGCGUAGAUAUCGGGAGGAACACCAGUGGCGAAGGCGACUACCUGGCCUGUUCUUGACGCUGAGGCGCGAAAGCUAGGGG
rnacentral:rRNA from 1 species